GUUCACUUUUGGUUUUCUGUUCAAACCUUAAUUUCGCUGCAUUAUUUGCUUGAGGUGCGAAGGUGCAGUUUAUUUUUCUUUUGGAUAAAAUCUAUGGCGUAUCGCACUGUUAUAGCCUUAUAGGAAUUGAUGAUGAUUAAACAGAUUUUGCAAUGUUUUGACAUACAAAUCUCCGGGCGAUCGAACAGUUUGAAGGUGAUGGCAACAGAAAAAGAAUAGUUUGAAGGUAUUAAUCGAGGCCAGCAAAGCCUUCAAUUAGAAAGAAAGUGCCUAAUUUAUCAACUUGUCGAUGCUGAUGUCACGUGAUCCAAAACCACUGUGGAUGACACAUUGUCCAAAAUCAGCGUGGUAUGUUUUUAUGACAACAGACUGGGGAUUGUGUAAAUCAAACUAUUUCAGACUCAUUUUCUGGACUCAGAUGACAAUUGAAGCGUAAAUUAGACAUUAAGUACUUUAUGUUACCUUGUAAACUUUUCCAAAACCUCCCUGUCCCAGCAAAUUGGAAUCAGCGAACCUAUUUGUUGCCCAAAGGAUGUCUUGAAAGCUAAUAAAUGGAAAAUCUGUUUUUUCA